rnacentral:lncRNA from 1 species
AAAACCAAAAAAAAACCAACCCCCCAAAAAAAAAAAAAAAAAAGCUCAGACUCAAGCCCAGUAGACUUUCCUUUGUCCCUCUGUGUUGGGCAUGCCUCAGCCUCCUGAAUCAGCCC